ensembl:lncRNA
ACCAGUGUAAAGCGCUUUAGAACCAUAGGGGUUAAGAAAGUGCAGACCAUUUCCCAUGCUUUUCUGUGAUAUAAUGGAUAUUCUGAUAUCCUUGGGUUAAAAAAAAAAAAAUUACAAAUUGUUAAAAGUAUUUAAAAUUAGAAGUGAAUAGAAGUAGUUAGAAGUUAGUAGUAGUUAGAAGUAGAAGUGGUAGAAGUGAAUAGAAGUAGAAGUAGUUAGAAGUAGAAGUGAAUAGCAGUAGUUAGAAUUAGAAGUAGUUAGAAGUGAAUAGAAGUAGGUAGAAGGGAACAGAAGUAGUUAGAAGUAGAAGUGAGUAGAAGUGAAUAGAAGUAGGUAGAAGGGAAUAGAAGUGGUUAGAAGUAGGUAGAAGUAGUUAGAAGUAGUAGUGAAUAGAAGUAAGAAGAAAUCGGUAGAAGUAGUCAGAAGUAGAAGUGGAUAGAAGUCGAAGUAGUUAGAAGUGAGUAGAAGUAGUUAGAUGUGGUUAAAAGUGAAUAGAAGUGAUUAGAAGUAGAAGUGAAUAAAAGUAAAUAGAAGUAGGUAGAUGUGAAUAGAACUGUUAGAAAGUAGGAAUAGUUAGAAGUAAGUAGAAGUGAAUAGAAGUAGAAGUGAAUAGAAGUAGUUAGAAGUAAAUGGAAGUGAGUAGAAGUGAGUAGAAGUAGAAGUAGUUAGUAGAAGUGAGUAGAAGUGAAUAGAAGUAGAAGUGAAUAGAAGUAGAAGUGAGUAGAAGUGAGUAGAAGUAGUUAGUAGAAGUGAAUAGAAGUAGAAGUGAUUAGUAGAAGUGAGUAGAAGUAGAAGUAGUUAGUAGAAGUGAGUAGAAGUAGUGAGUAGAAGUGAAUAGAAGUAGAAGUGAGUAGAAGUGAAUAGAAGUAGAAGUGAGUAGAAGUAGAAGUAGUUAGAAGAAGUGAUUAGAUGGCAAGAUGUUGGACCUAAUGAUUAAAAUAAUUUGCUUGUAUGUGUGUUUUAGUGGCGCUCUGCUGCACUGUUGUACCGGCAGUAAUGCACAGACCUGUGUUCGUCAGGAGGCGUAUGGUAGAAAUACCUUCCAGAAUCAUGAUAUAUUUCAUAUCUCUCGCCCUCACACCUGGAAGCGAGUUGCACUUGUAUCCUCACAUGUAGAUAAUCCCUAAAUGUCCUGGCGCAGAGCUUCAGAACCUCCUCCUGGACUCUGUCAUGGUCAGAUUGACAGCUUUGUGCUGGGCCUGUCUCUGUGAUGAAGACGGAGACUGCUCGCUCCUCUGAGCGUGUUCCUGGAGCUCGGCGGUUCACGCCGGAGUGCUUUAGUUCUCUCGUUAAACCCCAGACGUCGCCUGAGCGGCGUAAACGUCAGUCCCCUGCCCCGCGUGACCCUGUAAGGCGCACGAGCGCGCCGAGCCGAGAUGUGGUGGAAGAGCCGCUGUAUUCUUUACUAGCUCUGGAACCGGAGCCUUGGCUUCUCGCGGCAGGUUAUACGGACACGACGCAGAGUCUCGGAGAGACUUUAUUGUACUUUUGUGUCCCGGAGCGCAUGCCUUGGUCUACUUCCUCUGACUAAAAAAAAUUUUUUUUUUUAAAUAAACGUGAUAUUUAAAAAUAUAUAUAUAUUUUGGAUGAUGC